AGACCAUCUACAAGUGCAGCUCAUGGUCAAUUUAUAAGGUCGACAUCUACUGUCACACACACAGUUCUUCAUCUGCGGAUAUACUUCUUGAUGUAAGGACCAGCACUCCAGAUACAGGUGUUGGAAGAGGAACUGUUUAUACCUGAUUUGGGACGUUUCUUCCAUAGCUUGACCGGACAUUGAUCGCCAUUAUUUGAUGAAGAAGAAAACUCAUCAAGGGAGAUCACCAUAAAUCUCAUACCAAUAUGAGAGGAAAAUCCAAAUUCAGAAGAAAAUACAGGACGUCAGGAUGGAAGUGAGACUCCAGAUUUUCUAGAUGAAUUUGGAGAUGCCCAACAAUUGGAAAUACAUACCCCUGAGAAUCAGGACGAAUAAGUGGAAACACAGUCACCACCACCACCACCACAAGAAACAGGGGAUGUAAAUAUUGCAAAUCCAACAGCUGAUGGACUAUUGGCCGAUGUUGGCUUAACGGAAAUUUUGUCACUUGCCAGGCAAUAUAGAGAGGACCACAGGGACAUGCAGAAAGUUACUAACACUAAUAUUGAAUGUUGGGCAGCCAUAUCAGAAAAAAAGUAUUGAAAUUGGAAAAGAAAAAAUGGAAAUUGAAAGGCAAAAAUUAAAUCUCCAAAGAGAAAUGUUUCAGUGGCAGAGGCAGAUGGACAAAGAAAAAAAACAGCAAAUAAAUAGAGUCAUAAGCCUCACUGAAAGGACACUCCAAUCACUAAUAUCUAUUAUAAGUAAAAGAGAGGGUACAACAGACCCCAAAAGACCAAAGCUACAAUGAACAAUUUUUUUUUUAUACCACCAAAAUUUUAAAGGUUAUAUUAAAAAAGAUUUGGCAUUUUUUUUGCCUUUCUUAUGAAAA